rnacentral:misc_RNA from 1 species
UCCGAGUUGACCCCGGCAGUCUCCUAUGAGUCCCCGCCAUAACGCGCUGGCAACAUAGAACGAGGGUUGCGCUCGUUGCGGGACUUAACCCAACAUCUCACGACACGAGCUGACGACAGCCACGCAGCACCUGUGUGCAGAUUCUCUUUCGAGCACUCCCCGAUCUCUCGAGGAUUUCUGCCAUGUCAAGGGCAGGUAAGGUUUUUCGCGUUGCAUCGAAUUAAUCCACAUCAUCCACCGCUUGUGCGGGUCCCCGUCAAUUCCUUUGAGUUUUAAUCUUGCGACCGUACUCCCCAGGCGGCGAACUUCACGCGUUAGCUGCGGUACUAAGGAAGUCUCCUUCCCCAACACCUAGUUCGCAUCGUUUAGGGCGUGGACUAC